AUUGAACGCUGGCGGUAGGCCUAACACAUGCAAGUCGAGCGAGCGGCGGACGGGUGAGUAAUGUCUGGGAAACUGCCUGAUGGAGGGGGAUAACUACUGGAAACGGUAGCUAAUACCGCAUACCCUCAGAUGUUCCCAGAUGGGAUUAGCGCGUGGGUGGGGUAACGGCUCACCUAGGCGCCGAUCCCUCGCUGGUCUGAGAGGAUGACCAGCAAAACUGGAACUGAGACACGGCCCAGACUCCUACGGGAGGCAGAAGUGGGGAAUAUUGGACAAUGGGCGCAAGCCGGAUGAAGCCAUGCCGCGGGUGUGAAGAAGGCCUUCGGGUGGUAAAGCACUUUCAGCGGGGAGGCGGUACCCGCAGAAGAAGCACCGGCUAACUCCGUGCCAGCAGCCGCGGUAAUUC
rnacentral:rRNA from 1 species